rnacentral:misc_RNA from 1 species
GAUGAAGAACGUAGCGAAAUGCGAUAAGUAGUGUGAAUUGCAGACUUUAGUGAAUCAUCGAAUCUUUGAACGCACAUUGCGCCCCCUGGUAUUCCGGGGGGCAUGCCUGUUCGAGCGUCAUUUCACCACUCAAGCCUCGCUUGGUAUUGGGCAACGCGGUCCGCCGCGUGCCUCAAAUCGACCGGCUGGGUCUUCUGUCCCCUAAGCGUUGUGGAAACUAUUCGCUAAAGGGUGUUCGGGAGGCUACGCCGUAAAACAACCCCAUUUCUAAGGUUGACCUCGGAUCAGGUAGGGAUACCCGCUGAACUUAAGCAUAUCAAUAAGCGGAGGA